rnacentral:rRNA from 1 species
GACGAACGCUGGCGGCGUGCUUAACACAUGCAAGUCGAACGAUGAUGCUGGAGCUUGCUCCAGUUGAUUAGUGGCGAACGGGUGAGUAACACGUGAGCAAUCUGCCCUUGACUCUGGGAUAACUGCGGGAAACUGUAGCUAAUACCGGAUACUUUCACCGGAAGGCAUCUUCUGGUGAUGAAAGAAUUUCGGUCAGGGAUGAGCUCGCGGCCUAUCAGCUUGUUGGUGAGGUAACGGCUCACCAAGGCGACGACGGGUAACCGGCCUGAGAGGGUGACCGGUCACACUGGGACUGAGACACGGCCCAGACUCCUACGGGAGGCAGCAGUGGGGAAUAUUGCACAAUGGGCGCAAGCCUGAUGCAGCAACGCCGCGUGAGGGAUGAAGGCCUUCGGGUUGUAAACCUCUUUUAGCAGGGAAGAAGCGAAAGUGACGGUACCUGCAGAAAAAGCACCGGCUAACUACGUGCCAGCAGCCGCCGUAA